AAUCGAAUGCAUGAGCUAAGAAUUCUGAUUAUCUAAGUAUUCUUGAUCUCAAGAAUCAUGUCAAAAUGGUUGAGAGCAUGGAAGGCUAACGGGCUAAGAAGACUCAAGUAAAACAAACGCAAAUACGGACGCACAAGAAUGAAAUAGGGAAUGCAGGUAUACUCGUGAUGGAAGUUGAAGGUUGUACAGAACUGUGGAUUCUCACCAUGGAGUGUAAAAGGUUGAAGAUCGAGUCAAGAGAUGGAU